GCCUCAUUAUAUUAUUUGAGGUAUUGCCUGCUCAAUGCGAAAGUAAAUAGCCGCAGUAUUCUGACUGUGCAAAGGUAGCAUAAUAAAUUGGUCUUUAAUUGAGAUCUGGAAUGAAUGGCUUGACAAGGGUUUAGCUAUCUUAAGAUUAGAAAUUUUGAAAUUGAACUAUUCGUAAAAAUGCGGAUAUGAACGAGAGGGACGAGAAGACCCUAUAGAUCUUUGAAUGAAUUACAAAUUUAUAUAUAUAGGAUUUGUGGUUUUUUUUAUUUGGGGAAAAUCCUGAAAUUUGAACUUCGGUUAAAAAGGUUGAAAAAUUUUAAUGAUUAAUUUUUGAUCCACUAUAAUAGUGAAAGAAUGAAAAAGUUACCUUAGGGAUAACAGGACAAUGAUUCCCUGGAAGGCCUUAUUUCAGGGGACGUUUGUCACCUCGAUGUUGAAUUAAGUUAUCUUGCUAAAGAAGAAAUUUUUAUAGUUGGUCUGUUCGACCAUUAAAAAC
rnacentral:rRNA from 1 species